UGAUGAUACGGACAGCAAUUACAGGAGCAGUUACACUUCACUGUGUGUGUGUUAUGUGCCAGGCACUGUGCUUACACAAGCAGUUUCCUGGCGGUGAUGACAGCUGACUUUCUUGAGUGUGUUGGAGGACCAUGCAUUACAGCUUUACGUGGCGUGUCUUCAUAAAAUCCAAGCCGCCAUGGUAUGAGGAAGCCCAAACGGCAACGGAGAAGUCAAGUAUAGACGAUUCAGUCUCAGCUCUCGCUGAAGCCCUCGAGAACAGACAGCCUUUGAGAUGCCUCCAGCUCCAGCUCUGACACAGCCUCAUGAGACACUCCAAGUACACACUACCUCCUGAGCCCAGUCAACAGUAAAUGAUUGCUAUUAUACCACAAUAAAUAAUUGGAACAUGACAAUAUAUUUCCCAAAGUUCUGCCUGUGGGUCACUCUUAGCUACCACGAGCUUUACUUUUUAUUUCUUAGAAACCGUGAGUUUAGCACUUAUUCUCACGAGACACAAUGAUUAAUUUUAUUAGAUAUUUAUUGAACAUUUUUAUGAUUCACAGUAAUCCUCUUCAUUCAUUUUUUAAAAUAGAGCUGUAAUAAGGACUGGAUACAUGACUCACUUCGUAUUUCUCCUGAGGGAAAAGCAGCUAGGUAGGCUUUCCUUGAAAUAAACCUGAGAAGUAUCCUUUAGCUCCCUGAGCUAUCAAAAAUGGGAAAACUUUAGAGUGAAUUGACACCCUUGAAGUCCUCUUUGAAGCAGGACUCCAGCCAACAGGAAAGCAGAACUGUGAUCCCCAGGCAGCCUCAGCACAUCAGGCUGUGAAAUAAUAAGGCAGAGGUCUUCUGUGAACCGUCACCAACUGCCAAGGGUUCUCUAGGAGCUGGCUUUGUUGUCAGCUCUUGGACAUGUAAAACUCUCAACCCUGAAAAGCUACCAAAAAAUGCAUAUCUGUAUAAACAUUAGUAUGGGUACACACCCACACACACACACACACACACACACACAAACACACAGGGACCCACUAUCUUAGCUAUUGUGUGGAUUGAACAAAUUUCUUAAUCUCUCUGGGUCUCAGGAUUUUGUGUCUAAAAUGAAGUUAAUAUUUUCCUCACUGGAUUUUUGAAAAGUAAAUGAGCUUAUGCGAC
rnacentral:lncRNA from 1 species